GGGGAUUUAGCUCAGCGGCAUAGCAUAAGUGCCUGCCUUGCAAGCAGGCAGUCGUGAGUUCAAUCCCCA
rnacentral:tRNA from 1 species